GACGAACGCUGGCGGCGUGCCUAACACAUGCAAGUCGAGCGGGAUCCAUCCAGUGGCAACACUGGGGAAGAUCUAGCGGCGAACGGGUGAGUAACACGUGAGAAACUUGCCCCGGAGUUCGGGAUAACCCGAGGAAACUCGAGCUAAUACCGAAUGCCCUCUUCUGAUCGCAUGGUCGGAUGAGGAAAGAUUUAUCGCUCCGGGAGAGUCUCGCGGCCUAUCAGCUAGUUGGCGGGGUAACGGCCCACCAAGGCAUCGACGGGUAGCUGGUCUGAGAGGACGAUCAGCUACACUGGGACUGAGACACGGCCCAGACUCCUACGGGAGGCAGCAGUGGGGAAUAUUGGGCAAUGGGCGAAAGCCUGACCCAGCGACGCCGUGUGGGCGAUGAAGGCCUUCGGGUUGUAAAGCCCUGUUGGGUGGAAAGAAGGGCUUUUGGACGAAUAAUCCAGAAGCUUUGACGGUACCACCAGAGGAAGCACCGGCUAACUCCGUGCCAGCCGCCGCUGUAAUAC
rnacentral:rRNA from 1 species